GACGAACGCUGGCGGCGUGCCUAAUACAUGCAAGUCGAACGAGAGCGACCGGUGCUUGCACUGGUCAAUCUAGUGGCGAACGGGUGAGUAACACGUGGGUAACCUGCCCAUCAGAGGGGGAUAACAUCCGGAAACGGAUGCUAAAACCGCAUAGGUCUUCGAACCGCACGGUUUGAAGAGGAAAAGAGGCGCAAGCUUCUGCUGAUGGAUGGACCCGCGGUGCAUUAGCUAGUUGGUGAGGUAACGGCUCACCAAGGCCGUGAUGCAUAGCCGACCUGAGAGGGUGAUCGGCCACAUUGGGACUGAGACACGGCCCAAACUCCUACGGGAGGCAGCAGUAGGGAAUCUUCCGCAAUGGACGCAAGUCUGACGGAGCAACGCCGCGUGAGUGAAGAAGGUUUUCGGAUCGUAAAACUCUGUUGUUAGAGAAGAACAAGUGCUAGAGUAACUGUUAGCGCCUUGACGGUAUCUAACCAGAAAGCCACGGCUAACUACGUG
rnacentral:rRNA from 1 species